UACGGAGGGUGCGAGCGUUGUCCGGAAUCAUUGGGCGUAAAGAGCGUGUAGGCGGCCAGGUAGGUCUGCUGUGAAAACUCGAGGCUUAACCUCGAGCUGUCGGCGGAAACCAUCUGGCUAGAGUCCGGAAGAGGAGAAUGGAAUUCCCGGUGUAGCGGUGAAAUGCGCAGAUAUCGGGAAGAACACCCGUGGCGAAGGCGGUUCUCUGGGACGGUACUGACGCUGAGACGCGAAAGCGUGGGGAGCGAACAGG
rnacentral:rRNA from 1 species